UACAGAGGUCCCGAGCGUUGUUCGGAUUCACUGGGCGUCAAGGGUGCGUAGGUGGCAGGGUAAGUCGGAUGUGAAAGCUCGGAGCUCAACUCCGAAAUGGCAUUGGAAACUACCCAGCUCGAGGGUUGGAGGGGGGACUGGAAUGCUUGGUGUAGCAGUGAAAUGCGUAGAUAUCAAGCGGAACACCAGUGGCGAAGGCGAGUCCCUGGACAACUCCUGACACUGAGGCACGAAAGCUAGGGGAGCAAACAGG
rnacentral:rRNA from 1 species